rnacentral:lncRNA from 1 species
GAAUUUGCCCUGACAGACACAGAGCCUGGGGCUGGAGAUUUUCUGAGAUGCCUCAGGCUCCUUCCCACAAAUUUCGCAUCAGCUUGAGCUCAGUGGGAGUAGAAUCUGCCACCGACAAACUCCUAAGAUGGCUUUGUUCAUUCCCACCUUCAUCAUAAAUCAGGUUGGGGUGGAGAAGCAAUAUCCCUAAGGGAAAAAUAAAAGUCUCCAAGCUAGGACUUUCAGCCUGGGGCCUGACAUUGCACAGAAAAUGGCCACUGCAGUCUCACAGGAACGCAGCCAGUCAAUGGUUUUCCUGAAACAAACUCUCAUCAUCUGAGAGAACCUGCAUGCACCUCUGCUCCCUGCACCCCAGAGGGAACCAGCAGUGUGCCCUGGGAAAAGCUGGGGCCCCACAGGUCCCAGUCUCUGAACAGGGUCUCGUAUAAAGAAGCACCGUCCAGCAACUAUUGCAGCAUUCACUGGCAUCUCGAAGACAGUAUCAACGAGUAUCUACAUCACAACCCGUAACCUCGCUCCUCAAGUUCCCUGUCCUCCCCUCCCAACCCCUGUACCCACAGCUGAUCGUGAGCCUCACACCCACCCACCUCCAGCAGUGCCAGAUUCACUCCUUACUUCCCCACUCUCUUCAUAUGGAGAGUGACAGCUUCCCUAGGUGGGUUAGAGCCGCUUUGGGCCCAUCUUUCUGAUCUUGUCUCUCUUGUUCCAUUCUCCAGUUUUUUGUUCUAAAAUAUCUGGCAAACACGUCAUUUUGAAUUAGUUUGGGGAGGUCAGGGUGCAGUUGGGGCAGGAACAUUUCCACAUUAACAAUUCUUGCUCUCACCAUGAUACUGAUUUUUUUUCUGGAGACAGAGUCUCGCUCUGUUGCCCAGGCUGGAGUGCAGUGGGGCGAUCUUGGCUCACUACAACGUCUGCCUCCUGGUUUCACACAGUUCUCAUGCCUCAGCCUCCCGAGUAGCUGGGACUACAGGUGCAUGCCACCAUACCCAACUCAUUUUUCAUAUUUUAGUGAAAACAAGGUUUCACCAUGUUGGCCAGGCUGGUCUUGAACUCCCAAGCUCUGGCAGUCUGACUGCCUCGGCCUCCCAAGGUGCUAGGAUUACAGCUGUAAGCCACUGCACCCGGCCAGAUACUGAUUUUUUUUAACCCUACUAUUUACUGGGCACAUACUACACAUCAGGCGGUGACCUCAGUAUUUUCCAUUGAAAAGAUCGUUUAAUCCUCAAAAUGAUUUCAUAAAACUGAUUAAAAUCCCUAAUUUAUAAGUAAUAACUGAGAGAGAUCAAGUACUCCAAGAAAGAAGGAAAAAGGGAGAGAGAGAAGAUCCUUGUGAUGAUGAAAUCCCUUAGACUUUGCCAUCUCAUCUUUCUCCUGCCUCCACACAAGGUCGUAGAAGAAAACAACAUGGACCACUUGCCAGCGUCUCUUUGAACAGAGAAGCUACUGCUGUCUAAGGUGGAACUCAUGACUGAGACCUGAGCCUAUCAGCCGGUCACGUGAUCCUGGCCCAGGGCUAUUGGCUGUGGGAAGUGGAUGCUGCCCGCCCUGUUGUCCUGUGGGAGCUUGAGGGGAUGUACAUCUGGCAUUGCUGGCAGGCAUUUUGUUCCCAUGAGGGAAGAGUCUGGGAGAGAAGCAACCUGGUGGAGAGUGGGCCUAAGACACGGAGAGAGGAUGUUGAUGCCGUGAGUUCCCAAUCCCGCCGCGCCCGUCAGACUUACCCUCAGCUUUCCAGUCUCAGGAGCCAACACUCUUUCCUUCAGCCAGAUCAAGGUCCUUGUCACUUACAGCCAACACCACAACUGAUACAAAAGGGAAGGACACAAAACAAUUGUGGAGAAAGCCGUCUGGAUGGAGCCAGCAGCUUCGCUACCAUCGAGUGGCAUUUCCAGAGAGCAGAUGCACGCGGAGGGGUGUAGUUUGAAGGAAGACCUGGCGGGAUUUGCUAAUGAAUUGGAUAGCAGCGUAGUGAAAGAGACCCUCAGGAAUGACUUCCGGUUUUUAGGCUAAGGAAUUGCAAGAAUGGAACCAUGAACGGAGAUGUUGGUUUAGACCAGUCGCCCUCUGGACCAAGCUGCUGUGAGCAUGGAUUUAACAAAAUGUCAGCCCCACUGGGUAUGAUUUUCAAGUAUGAAUUCAAAACCUAUGGUGAGUUUCUACCAGUUUAAUCAAAAGUCCUUUUAUUUUGUUCUGGGUAAACACAGCUACGUCUGGGGUUUGCAUGCAAAGCAGUGGCUUUGACUUUCUUUUCGUUUUUUUGUAAAGCAGUAUUCAUCCAGUUAUGAGAAAACCACUUUUGCUUAUUGACCUUCUAAAAUGUCGGCAUUGUAAAUCAAAUCACUUGCAAAAAAUCCUCCAAAACAUAAUUUUUCAAAGCUUUCAUCCCUAAAGAAGUCAAUGUAUAAGGAAUAAGUGGUGAACGAGCCAGGGUCCUCUUCUCCUCUCUAGAGGAGGUAAAACGUCCUGGGCUGGGAGAGAGAGGAAGAGAAGCCAGAGGUUGGAUGGUGGGCAGCUUUUGAGAAGGGGUUUCAUGUUCUGCCCUUCCUGGGUCAGUUUCAUGGAAGGUCCCCAAUGCACGAACAAAUCAGAGAGGCCUGGAGCGGUAGGAGCUCAAGGGCAGAGCCAUGAGCUGCGUUCCGGCGACAGAGGAGACAUGGCUGGUUCGCGUCGUGUCUGCAUCUGAGCAGAGAGCUUGCCUCUGCUUUGUGAGUUUCUCCAGCCCUGAGUGGGGAGUGGAGCAGCCUCUUCCCCUACCCCACCCCUGUGUCCAGGGAUGCUCAGAAGUCCCCGAAGUAAAGGCAGACUUGGAGACACCUGGAGCCUGGGAAUGCGGGAGGGGAUGGACUGGAUGAUGUCUUUGUGAAUCUCUCAAGGAUGGGCAGGAUGUGGUCCAUCUCAGUGGAUAGUGGCCUGCAGCGCAGGUGACUGGCAGACAGGUGUGUCCCCAGUCUCCACUGCUGCAGCCGGCAAGGCCCUCUGGAAACCUUGCUGCAACCUCUGAUGGGAACAGCCCCGGUGGAUGGGAAGCUGCUGUCUGGAUGAAGAGUGAUUCAAGGAAGCUAUGGAUGGAGUUAGGGAAAUACAGCAUUGCAUUUCAUUCUGGGUCUGAUGCGUGUGCCUGACUCAGGGUGGGGCUUCUCUGGGACUGUUAAGAAGUGUGUAUGAGUUCUCUAUGAGAAUUUAAAUGUGCAUAUAUUUGGGUCCCUCCAAAAUUCCUAGGUUGAAGUCCUCACCCCUACUGUGAUGGAAUCAGGAAGAGAAGCCUUUGGGAGGUGAUUAGGUCAUGGAGGGUGGGGCUCUCAUAGAUGGGAUGAGUGCCGUUAUAUAAAGCCAGAGCAAAGAGAGCUCCCUUGUUCCUGCGUCUGUGGGAGGACGGCGCCACCCAAGAACCAGGAGGGACACACUCAGCAGACACCCAAUCUGCUGGUGCCUUAAUCCUGGACUUCCCAACCUCCGGAAUGAUGAGCAAUAAAGUUCUGUUGUUUGUAAGCCAUCCAGUCUGUGGUGUUCGGUUAUAGCAUCCUGAACAGACUAAGACAAUGUUUUGUAAGAGCCCAUUUGGGUUUCCUGGGUGGCCCACAGGAGCUAUGCAGGGGUUCUGGGGUCUGUGCCUUUGGGACUAGAUGACGCAGCUGUCAGAGCCUGUGGCUUGGCUUGGUCAGCGCCUGCCCUUCCCUCCAGUCUCCUCCAUCUUGGCUCCCACCCCUCCUGCCCCCACUGCUCCCCCAGCUCCAGAUUCUUCACCUUAUGAUGUUCCAUAAAGGAAUGCAGCUCUCCCCAGCUCAAGUCCCACAGCCUCUCACCUGAACUCCUGAAGGUGCUCAGCAGAACCCAGAGCCCUCCAUCUGGCAGGAUGAGUCCUCACUCUAGGAACCAUGGGAACCACAGACUCCACCUGAGGCAGCAGCUGCUGCGCACAGAGCAG